AAUACGAUACAAACAUUGCAGACGGCAGCCAUUGCUGGAUAGCGUUGAUGUGUAAGCACUUCCUUUAUGAAAAAGUCUUCGCUGAUUGGAAUUAUCAUGCCCUCAAAUACGGUGAAAUUGUUAAGAACACGCCGCUAAGAAGGGCAAAAAAAUAAAAAAUAUCUUGAUGUUGAGAUGGGCACAUAUAAUGAGUUGCAGAGGGGCACCUGAUACUACCUUCUCUACUAUGUCGCCCAGACACAAUCCUAAUAACGUUCAAUCAUCUCCAUCUUUCUACACAACCACACUGCUACAAGUAAGCCAUUCCAUUUUUUUUUACAGCGAAUACACAUGGUGAUGACAGAGGAAAGAAAACUUUAGACAUCGUGGGAGGCACCAGCUGAUUAUCAAGGAGACGUGAAGUUAAGGGCUACGUUUGUCCUAGAUGGCAAUAAAAAUAAUCCCAACGCUACCCAAUAGAGUUUUGCUAAAAAACUAGCCCACCGGGAUUGCAAUAAAAAAACGUGUUAUACAUGUGUUUUAUUUUUUAGACAAAGACUACAGCCCCAACAGCCUCUGUCCAGAUUCCGUCUAUUUAAAUAACCUGCGGUAAAAUCAAGGGUUUUGUUCAGUCUACAAGGAGGCAAUUUUGUCCAGUCCAGAAGAGUUUCUGAUAAGCCAUGGUUAUCUACGCUGUGAAGAGCCAACGUUGUACGUUAUGAAUUUGUAUUAUGGGCUACCAGUUCGUUGACAAGUGCUAACGUCGCUGUUGGCUUUUUAUGAAUCUAGUGGGUGAAAAUUGCGUGUUAGAAUGCACUUUACUUAAACGGCAGGGUCUCAUCAUUCCAGGACGGCCAUUCAUUUGAUAAAAGAUUGUACAAAAAAAAUUGAUUAAAUAAAGUAUUAUGUGAAACCGUA